rnacentral:rRNA from 1 species
UACAGAGGGCGCGAGCGUUGUCCGGAAUCACUGGGCGUAAAGGGCGCGUAGGUGGCCCGGUCAGUUCGUGGUGAAAGCGCGGGGCUCAACCCUGCGUCGGCCAUGAAUACUGCCGCGGCUGGAGCACUGUAGAGGCAGGCGGAAUUCCGGGUGUAGCGGUGGAAUGCGUAGAGAUCCGGAAGAACACCGGUGGCGAAGGCGGCCUGCUGGGCAGUUGCUGACACUGAGGCGCGACAGCGUGGGGAGCAAACAGG